rnacentral:rRNA from 1 species
AUUGAACGCUGGCGGCAGGCUUAACACAUGCAAGUCGAGCGGGGUGAUGGUGCUUGCACUAUCACUUAGCGGCGGACGGGUGAGUAAUGCUUAGGAAUCUGCCUAUUAGUGGGGGACAACAUCUCGAAAGGGAUGCUAAUACCGCAUACGUCCUACGGGAGAAAGCAGGGGAUCACUUGUGACAUUGCGCUAAUAGAUGAGCCUAAGUCGGAUUAGCUAGUUGGUGGGGUAAAGGCCUACCAAGGCGACGAUCUGUAGCGGGUCUGAGAGGAUGAUCCGCCACACUGGGACUGAGACACGGCCCAGACUCCUACGGGAGGCUGCAGUGGGGAAUAUUGGACAAUGGGGGGAACCCUGAUCCAGCCAUGCCGCGUGUGUGAAGAAGGCCUUAUGGUUGUAAAGCACUUUAAGCGAGGAGGAUGCUCUUUUGGUUAAUACCCAAGAUGAGUGGACGUUACUCGCAGAAUAAGCACCGGCUAACUCUGUGCCAGCCGCCGCCGUAA